CCCGCACAGACCGCCUGCCGCCGGGCGCCCGGAGCCUGCCACCAGUUGGGCGCUCGGGCCCCACGCAAGGCACACGCCACAGCCCCGCCGCCAGCACCGGAAGGCCCGCCGGGCCCCAUGGGACCCUCUCCUUUGCGUGCCACACCCAUGCACACCCAGGCCUCCCUAACUCCAGCACCAGCAUCUCCACGGGAGACGCACUAGACCCUGGGCCCAGCGGGACCCUCGCACCGAAACUCACGCCCCUUCCGCCGCCACCUGCCCCCUUUCCUCCACAGCAGACUCCCUCCUUGCCACCAGCUCCCGCCCGGCACCAGCUCGGCUGGGCUCCAGUCCGCAGGCGUGGCUAGCUCUGCUGGGUAUCAACCUCACACUGCCUCCCACUGCGCAACUCCCUGUCCUCCCUCCCCGGGAACACGGCCUCAGCCAGGCACGGGGCGCCGCACGGCCUCACUGCCCAGCCCCGUGUGUGGACACCUUAGCGGCCCCGGGAGCUGGCCGCGGGCUCACACUUCUCUGCCCCGCCGGCACCCAUGACCGGCCAGGGCACAGGCACCCAGCUCCCAUUCACGUGCCCGGGACCCCUCCGUCCUGCCUUCCACGCGCCGCCCAAAUCUCUGAGGAUAUCCCACAUCAUAGCCCAGGCCGCCCUGAAGGCACUGCCGCCCCGGGCACCCAACACUCCCCCUCACGGUGCUCUGCGCACACUGGCCCAGGACCUCUGGCCCUCCUGCACUUCUCUCGACCCCAGUCCGCGGCCGACUCGGCACCGCCCAGGGCCACCUGGCGCCCCACCGCCUCCACCUCUCUGGGAAAUGCCGCAGGGGCUCCAGGGUUCUCGAUGACCACCAAGGACUCUGCGAGGGAAAGGCACUGGCAGCCCCGCCGACCCCGUGAAGGCCCAGGCCAAGGCGUCCGACCCCGCCCAAACGGCCAUCUCGGCAAGGCCCCCGGCCGGCCUCCUCUCUCCCCACCAGAACCUGGGUCGGCAGUCCCGCCGAGGCCAAGGCCCCCGCUGCUCACCCGCAACCUACAGACACCCUCUGCGCCCGACACCGCGGCACUCCACCCCUGCUAUCCCCAGCACGCUCUCAGGACCCCGGGCAAAACACAGACCCUUCUGCUGGACCCUCCGGGACCCCAAGGGCCCUGGAGCCUGGCGAGACCCCGCAGGGCCGCACCUCGCCCUGACCGCCAAUGGCCAGGGGCGUCCCCUGCCGCCAGGCUGUGGGCUCGGGUCGCUCGCCCUUCACCCUCCAGGCCCGCCACACCAGGCCCCCUGGCGCGCGGGACCUGGGUCCCUCAGGCAGGUCUCCCCGGGGCACUCUGGGGACACCGGAGGCCUGCCUGCCCCAAACCCCGCCCCACGGCUGCCGCCUGUCCACCGGACACAACGCAACCCGCACAGACCGCCUGCCGCCGGGCGCCCGGAGCCUGCCACCAGUUGGGCGCUCGGGCCCCACGCAAGGCACACGCCACAGCCCCGCCGCCAGCACCGGAAGGCCCGCCGGGCCCCAUGGGACCCUCUCCUUUGCGUGCCACACCCAUGCACACCCAGGCCUCCCUAACUCCAGCACCAGCAUCUCCACGGGAGACGCACUAGACCCUGGGCCCAGCGGGACCCUCGCACCGAAACUCACGCCCCUUCCGCCGCCACCUGCCCCCUUUCCUCCACAGCAGACUCCCUCCUUGCCACCAGCUCCCGCCCGGCACCAGCUCGGCUGGGCUCCAGUCCGCAGGCGUGGCUAGCUCUGCUGGGUAUCAACCUCACACUGCCUCCCACUGCGCAACUCCCUGUCCUCCCUCCCCGGGAACACGGCCUCAGCCAGGGCAGGGGCGCCGCACGGCCUCAAUGCCCAGCCCCGUGUGUGGACACCUUAGCGGCCCCGGGAGCUGGCCGCGGGCUCACACUUCUCUGCCCCGCCGGCACCCAUGACCGGCCAGGGCACAGGCACCCAGCUCCCAUUCACGUGCCCGGGACCCCUCCGUCCUGCCUUCCACGCGCCGCCCAAAUCUCUGAGGAUAUCCCACAUCAUAGCCCAGGCCGCCCUGAAGGCACUGCCGCCCGGGCACCCAACACUCCCCCUCACGGUGCUCUGCGCACACUGGCCCAGGACCUCUGGCCCUCCUGCACUUCUCUCGACCCCAGUCCGCGGCCGACUCGGCACCGCCCAGGGCCACCUGGCGCCCCACCGCCUCCACGUCUCUGGGAAAUGCCGCAGGGGCUCCAGGGUUCUCGAUGACCACCAAGGACUCUGCGAGGGAAAGGCACUGGCAGCCCCGCCGACCCCGUGAAGGCCCAGGCCAAGGCGUCCGACCCCGCCCAAACGGCCAUCUCGGCAAGGCCCCCGGCCGGCCUCCUCUCUCCCACCAGAACCUGGGUCG
rnacentral:lncRNA from 1 species